CAGUAGCCGCGGUAAAACAGAGGGUGCGAGCGUUAAUCGGAUUUACUGGGCGUAAAGCGUGCGUAGGCGGCUUUUUAAGUCGGAUGUGAAAUCCCUGAGCUUAACUUAGGAAUUGCAUUCGAUACUGGUUAGCUAGAGUGUGGGAGAGGAUGGUAGAAUUCCAGGUGUAGCGGUGAAAUGCGUAGAGAUCUGGAGGAAUACCGAUGGCGAAGGCAGCCAUCUGGCCUAAUACUGACGCUGAGGUACGAAAGCAUGGGGAGCAAACAGGAUUAGAUACCCGGGUAGUCCCUGUCUCUUAUAC
rnacentral:rRNA from 1 species